UCGAGAGGCUUCGGCAAUGGGGGAAACCCUGACCGAGCGACGCCGCGUGGGCGAUGAAGGCCGUUAGGUUGUAAAGCCCUGUCGAGUAGGAAGAAACGCAGAUGGGUGAACAAUCCAUCUGUUUGACGGUACUGCUAAAGGAAGCUCCGGCCAACUCCGUGCCAGCAGCCGCGGUAAUACGGGGGGAGCGAACGUUGUUCGGAAUUACUGGGCGUAAAGGGCGUGCAGGCGGCCUCGUAAGUGGGAUGUGAAAUGCCCUGGCUCAACCAGGGAAAUGCAUUUCAGACUGCGAGGCUUGAGUAUAGGAGAGGAUGGGGGAAUUCCCGGUGUAGCGGUGAAAUGCAUUGAUAUCGGGAGGAACACCAGUGGCGAAGGCGCCCAUCUGGCCUAAUACUGACGCUCAGGCGCGAAAGCUAGGGGAGCAAACAGG
rnacentral:rRNA from 1 species